rnacentral:sRNA from 1 species
CCGAGAUUGAAGCUUCCGCGCUCGCGGAG